rnacentral:rRNA from 1 species
GGGGAAUUUUCCGCAAUGGGCGAAAGCCUGACGGAGCAACGCCGCGUGAGGGAUGAAGGCCUCUGGGCUGUAAACCUCUUUUCUCAAGGAAGAAGAUCUGACGGUACUUGAGGAAUAAGCCACGGCUAAUUCCGUGCCAGCAGCCGCGGUAAUACGGGAGUGGCAAGCGUUAUCCGGAAUUAUUGGGCGUAAAGCGUCCGCAGGCGGUCUUGUAAGUCUGUCGUUAAAGCGUGGAGCUUAACUCCAUUUUCAGUGAUGGAAACUGCAAGACUAGAGUGUGGUAGGGGCAGAGGGAAUUCCCGGUGUAGCGGUGAAAUGCGUAGAUAUCGGGAAGAACACCAGUGGCGAAGGCNNNNNNCUGGGCCAUAACUGACGCUCAUGGACGAAAGCCAGGGGAGCGAAAGGGAUUAGAUACCCCUGUAGUC